rnacentral:lncRNA from 10 species
AUUUCAUCAACUGGCUGCUCCCGGAACAUGUGUCUCCACCGCGCCCACGUCUUCUUCAGGCGUCCCUCCCCCUGGCUCGGGUGACAGAGAAGCAGAGACUGGGGCUCAGGAAAGGGAACGUCCCAAGGCCACACAGCCAUGAAGCGGCACAGCCAAGCGUCCGACGGCAGAGCCGGGCUCCCAGCCUCCCCCUGUGCCUACAGACAUGGCUCCUGGACACCCCAGGGCACGUCGCAGGAGAACAGCAAAGAGUCCCGAGGAGAUGGCUGUAGGCGGGUGACAGGCCAGAGGGCCUGCUACAAACAACCGACGAAGGACUGUGGAAACAGAAGCGCGUGAGGGGCUCCUACAAAUGCAAAAGGGAAGACGCAGCCCACAGAGGCCAACGGGAUUGCACAGAAGAGGAGCACGCUGAGCAGCCCACAGGGGAAGCGACGGGAACUCCAGAACAGCCAAGGAAACGCAGGUCAGAGGACCAGGAGACCAAUGCACGGGAGAAGCCACAGGCGCCCCUGCACACUCCCAGUGCUGCGCGUAUCAGAGCACGGGUUUGGAAACCUGUUGGACUGUUUUUAAAAUUGAACGCUCCCAACCCCUGGCCUAGCCCGUCCACCCCUGGAGGUGCAGACGAGGGCACUCGCGGCGGCCCCAUUUCACAUCAGGUCCCUGGGGGCUGGGCAGAUGGACACCAUGCAUCAUGCCGCCCCCUCACAGGGAGGAUCCUGCAGCAGGCAAGUCUCCAAGCUGUCUCUGGCUGCGUCACACCUGGUCCCUGCACCUGAGUCCCUCCCCUCUGCCAGCCGCAUCCUCGCCAAGCUCAAGACCUGCCUCCUCCAGAAAGUCUCACUUGACUGCUUGAGCCAGUUGGCCCUUGAGGGCUGCCAGGUAAAAUAGAGGCCACCCAGUCACACCUGAUUUCCAGAUAAACAGCAGAAGGAUAUAGUAUUGUAGUGUAGUGUAGUGUAGUAUAGGAUAGCAUAGCAUAGCAUAGUGUAGUAGGGUAUAGUAUGGUAUAGUCUAGUCUAGUCUAGUUUGGUCUAGUAUAGCAUAGGAUAGCAUAGCAUAGUAUAGCAUAGGGUAGCAUAGGGUAGUAUGGUAUAGUAUGGUAUAGUCUAGUAUGGUAUAGUCUAGUCUAGUCUAGUCUAGUCUAGCAUAGCAUAGCAUAGCAUAGUAUAGGGUAGUAUGGUAUAGUAUGGUCUAGUCUAGUCUAGUCUGGUCUAGUAUAGCAUAGGAUAUCAUAGCAUAGCAUAAUAUGGUAUAGUCUAGUAUAGUCUAGUCUAGUAUGGUGUAGUCUAGUCUAGUCUAGUAUAGCAUAGGAUAGCAUAGUAUAGCAUAGCAUAACAUAAUACGGUAUAGUCUAGUAUAGUCUAGUCUAGUCUAGUAUGGUCUAGUCUAGUCUAGUCUAGUAUGGUCUAGUCUAGUCUAGUCUAGUAUAGCAUAGUAUAGCAUAGCAUAGCAUAAUAUGGUAUAGUCUAGUAUAGUCUAGUCUAGUAUGGUCUAGUCUAGUCUAGUCUAGUAUGGUCUAGUCUAGUCUAGUCUAGUAUGGUCUAGUCUAGUCUAGUCUAGUAUAGCAUAGGAUAGCAUAGCAUAGCAUAAUAUGGUAUAGUCUAGUAUAGUCUAGUCUAGUAUGGUGUAGUCUAGUCUAGUCUAGUAUAGCAUAGGAUAGCAUAGUAUAGCAUAGCAUAACAUAAUACGGUAUAGUCUAGUCUAGUCUAGUCUAGUCUAGUAUAGCAUAGUAUAGCAUAAUAUGGUAUAGUCUAGUAUGGUCUAGUAUGGUCUAGUCUAGUCUAGUAUAGCAUAGCAUAGUAUAGCAUAGAUGCCCCAGUGAUUGCAUGGGACACGCCUAC